CCUACGGGAGGCAGCAGUGAGGAAUAUUGGUCAAUGGGCGAGAGCCUGAACCAGCCAAGUCGCGUGAAGGAUGACGGCCCUACGGGUUGUAAACUUCUUUUGUCAGGGAGCAAUUGAGUCCACGUGUGGGCUUCGCGAGAGUACCUGAAGAAAAAGCAUCGGCUAACUCCGUGCCAGCAGCCGCGGUAAUACGGAGGAUGCGAGCGUUAUCCGGAUUUAUUGGGUUUAAAGGGAGCGUAGACGGCGAUGCAAGCCAGAUGUGAAAGCCCGCGGCUCAACUGCGGUAGUGCAUUUGGAACUGUAUGGCUGGAGUGCAGGAGAGGCAGGCGGAAUUACUAGUGUAGCGGUGAAAUGCAUAGAUAUCACGCAGAACUCCGAUUGCGAAGGCAGCAUACCGGCGCCCAACUGACGCUGAAGCACGAAAGCGUGGGUAUCGAACAGGAUUAGAUACCCGGGUAGUC
rnacentral:rRNA from 1 species